UACAUGAGCUAUUUCUCUUUCUUCCGAUGACAUAGCUUCUAUCUUUGAAAUUUCUCCAAUCAUUGGUCUUCCCCAUGCAGUGUUAAACAAUUGAGGUGAGUAUCUCCUCUCUGCUAUUUGAUUUCAUUUGUUUUUCUUUUGUCUUUUGUGUCGGUCAGUUCUGCCGCCUUCAUUGCUCUAAUCAGAUUCAGAAUUUUGAGUACGAUAAAAUAUACAAAAUUUAAUAUAAGACUCAAUUAAUAAUUAUUGAUAUGGGGACUUAUACCUCUUCACAGGAAAGGAAUAGAACAUUACGUGGUAUUGAAUUUCUGACGGAUUUUGCAGGAGUGAGAUUAGUACUGGAGAAAGUGAUAGGAAAUUUGUAUCAAAAUUGUUGUUCUUUGUUUUAAUUAAUAGGUUCGGUCUCUUGCAAUCAUCGAUUUGCUAAUCUCUAUUAUCUGUAAGACAGCAAACACAUGUAUUAUGUAUCGAUCAUUGUUUAUGACAUGCUCAACUGACUUGAUUACUUGAAGUUUCGUAUCAUUGAAAUAUAUGAUUUGUAAUGUUGUAAAAAGAUAUAUUCUAGGCUUAUGUUUACAAAAUCAAAUUUCUCCACUUUUCAGUUCAUGUUGUGGCACUAGAAUUUAUGUUCCUUAAUCUCCUCAGGUUUCUUCGCCAUUUAUUGGAUCCUAGCUUUGACAAGCUUUCAAUGAUCAAAUUUGAAAUUUCCAAGGAAAAUUGAGACAUGGUUAAACCAACAAAUCAUGUCAAUUCUGGAGAUGGUCCUGACUACAAUAUUGAAGUCAUUAAUGUUUAUGAUAUUGUGUUGUGCAGAUUAAAUUGAACGUAACUAACUAACUAACUGAUCGGCAAUGCAGUGGUAAAUGAUGAGAAAAAUACCAAAGGGAUGUGUGGGUGUUUCAGCUAAUAAUGCCUUCAUUUCAGAUGAAACCUCCUCAUAUCUAAUCCUGAGAUUCUACAACUUUUCAUACAUGCCAUUACACAAUCAGACGAACGAUUGCAAUGUGGCUGUAGCUGCGGUUAGAACUGAUAUUGAUUGUCUGUGUUUGUACCUUAUCAUUAACUUGAGCUAAUUUGCGCAACACUUCCGCUGGCUCUCAAUUAUUUAUCGAUUAAUCUAAUUUUAUGGGUUUUUUUCCCUUUAGGUCAAUUUUCCAUUGGAUUGGUUUGAAUUUUCUUUCAAUUUUGUUGAUUUCUUCGGUAUUUAGGGUUGUUAUACCGUUGCAUGCACUACAUUUUAGAGUUCAUUGUAAUUUGUAGCACUGGCCCUUUUUCUCCUUCUCCUUUCCCACUUGCCUAUUUGCAAAUUUGUAUUUGAUAUAAUAAUUUCUCCUAUUCAGGUCUAUUACUUCAACGAGAUAGGGGAGAAUUGCAAGCAUGAGAUGCUGGAAUGGAGCAGAAGCUUGAAAUUCAAACAAUCUAUCAAAUUUUUAUAUCGUUAUACAUCAGUUUACAGGCUAGCUUCCUGGUACAUAUGAAUGACAAGACUCAAAUCGGACAUAGAAGACGGUCUCCAUGUUCUAAAAUGCAGGCACUAUUUCUUUUGGAAAAUCUUUGGAUUCAACCAACCUCCAAGCUCAAGAAACCCUUCAAUUCCAGGGUAAAUUGAAAAUACUACAUUUGGGAUUUCUUCAUACCUAUAGUGUUCUCUUUUUCUAAUGAUUUGGUCUAAGUUUUACUACCAGCACAUCUGUAUAUGAUGGAAUUUAAUGUCAAACUUUUCCAUUUACAGAGAUUCUUAAAAGUAUCCGUCUUUGAAGGGUAUUUUCUAUUUGGGGUUGAAUUGAACUCUAUUUUAAAAAAGAAUCAAUUUUUUUGGGUGCCCAUUUUCAUGAUAAAUCUUACUAAUUAAGUGUUUUUUUGCUUUGAUGCUUUUCGGCAUGGCUGCAAAUCUUGGGAAAUUGAAAAUUGAGCUUAGAGAGGCAGAAGAUAAUUUAGUAAAAGCACUUGCAGGUUGAGGAAGGUUGUUACUCAAAGAACACUAAGAAGGAUUCUGGGAUUAAAGCACCGGAAGAGUCCAUGGCAAUUUAUGUCCUUCAUUCUUUUCUAUAUAGAGAAAUUAAAGCUACGGACAUUUUCAAGUUCAGUAGGAAUAAACAAGCAAGGAAUUGAAGUUGCUUGACGGUAUUAUGGAUGACUGACUCUAUUGUUAGAUAAUGUUGAACCAUCGAUUUAGAUUUCGAGCACCAAGUUAUGAAAUUUUACUGUUCUCCAUUCCAAUUGAUCCUGGAGUUCCACUUCAUAUGUGGAAGUGGAAAUUUGAGAAGACAUCAACACACCUCCAAAGAAUGAAGAAGGUAUCAUCGACUGUGAAAAGUCCUACAUUGCCGUGUCAGAUGAAGGAACAUGGCAUGUCCCUUGAUAACCCAGGAUCUUCACUGGGUACCUUUCAACCACCAGAUGGAAUCACAUCAGCAAUUUUUCUUCGGAGAUCGACAAUGAAACCAUUUGUCUUAUCAGGUUCAUCAGAUAAAAUAAUAGAUAUAAAAGCAGCAGUUGCACUGGAUGGAGUUUCAGCAUUGGUGCCUAUUGUUUAUGUGGGAAUUUAUAAAAAGAACGAAUAAAAGGUUGCCGCACAUCUCCCGGCAUCUUCUGAUCUAUCCCAUCUACCUGAUCCUCUUUUAUUAACUUAAUGUUGUCAAUGUGUUCCAUCUGCCAAUGUGUACUGACCGAGUCUGUCUGUAAAUAUAUUUUGUAUUUUGUUUGCUAGCUGCCAGUCAUCAAGUUCGAUCAACUCAACCCCAAGAUAACUUAAACAAAGGAAAAAGUAUACAAUCCUCUGACAAUUUCUCAAACAAGAACAACAAAUAUCAACGUCCAGGCACUGAAAAGGAAAUAUGUGCAAUGAAGGAGUUGAAGAGUUGAUGUUCCCGGGACACAUUGCAAUUGCUAGAAUACUUGUUUUUUCUUUUGAAUUUCUUUUGUUUCUAACUUACUAGAUCAUCCCUUUUAACUAAAUCAUUCAUAACUUGAAUAAGUUGCUUCAUUGCAAAUUGUGGCUUAUAUAGUUCAAAUAAGUUUCAUCAA